rnacentral:ncRNA from 2 species
AACACUGUGUACUUGUCAAGUGCUCAUCAUGGAUGAGGUGAAAGGGAAUCGGGUGAGAAUCCCGAGCGAUCCGGUCACUGUAUUCGGGGAGCAAACCGCAGGGAGGGAGACCUCUCAGGCCAUUGCCGGGCGUAUGCCGGUGAGAAGGCGCGGGGCGCGUGGAUCCGUAAGUCAGGAAACCUGCUUGACAGGAACGAUGGGG